UAUAAGUACAAGCCUUCACAAGGUGAAACCGCGAACGGCUCAUUACAACAGCUAUAAUCUACUCGGUCUUGAACAGUUACUCGGAUAACUGUGGUAAUUCUAGAGCUAAUACGUGCACCGAUGCUGUCUCUUGCGAGGCAGUGCAUUUGUUGGAGCAAAACCAGGCGGCUUCGGCCGUUUUUGCUGACUCAGAACAACUUAGCUGAUCGCAUGGGCUUGUCCCGGCGACGUACCGUCCGAGUGUCUGCCUUAUCAACUUUCGAUGGUAGUGUAUGUGACUACCAUGGUUGUGACGGGUAACGGAGGAUAAGGGUUCGACUCCGGAGAAGGGGCCUGAGAAAUGGCCACUACGUCUAAGGAUGGCAGCAGGCGCGCAAAUUACCCACUCUCGGUUCGAGGAGGUAGUGACGAAAAAUAACAAGGCUGUUCUCUACGAGGCCAGCCAUUGGAAUGGGUACAAUACAAACCCUUUAACGAGUAUCAAUGAGAGGGCAAGUCUGGUGCCAGCAGCCGCGGUAAUUCCAGCUCUCAAAAUGCAUAGAACCAUUGCUGCGGUUAAAAAGCUCGUAGUUGGAUCUGUGCCGGCGACGUGGUCCACCCUAACGGGCGGUACUGCGCUCGUCGGCUUUGGGCCGGUCUUCGUGCGGUGGCCUUAACCGGUCGCCGUCCGUGGCUGGCUGGUUUACUUUGAGCAAAUCAGAGUGCUCAGCACAGGCGUUUCGCCGGAAUGUUCGUGCAUGGAAUAAUAGAAAAGGAUUUCGGUCCUCUUUUAUUGGUUUUGUGGACUGAGAUAAUGGUUAACAGAGACGAACGGGGGCAUUCGUAUUGCUGCGUGAGAGGUGAAAUUCUUGGACCGCAGCAGGACGGACUACAGCGAAAGCAUUUGCCAAGCGCGUCUUCAUUAAUCAAGAACGAAAGUCAGAGGUUCGAAGGCGAUCAGAUACCGCCCUAGUUCUGACCGUAAACGAUGCCAACUAGCGAUCCGCCGGUGGCUUUCAGGCCCUGGUGGGGAGCUUCCCGGAAACGAAAGUCUUCCGGUUCCGGGGGAAGUAUGGUUGCAAAGCUGAAACUUAAAGGAAUUGACGGAAGGGCACCACCAGGAGUGGAGCCUGCGGCUUAAUUUGACUCAACACGGGAAAACUCACCCGGCCCGGACACCGUGAGGAUUGACAGAUUGAUAGCUUUUUCAUGAUUCGGUGGUUGGUGGUGCAUGGCCGUUCUUAGUUCGUGGAUCGAUUUGUCUGGUUUAUUCCGAUAACGAGCGAGACUCCAGCCUACUAACUAGUGCGGGCAUUGCCUCUGUGCUCGUGCACUUCUUAGAGGGAUUGGCUGCGUCUAGCGGCACGAAACGGAGCAAUAACAGGUCUGUGAUGCCCUUAGAUGUCCGGGGCUGCACGCGCGCUACACUGGCAAAAGCAACGUGCUUGUCCGCCUCCGAAAGGAGCCGGUAAACCCUUGAAAAUUUGCCGUGAUUGGGAUCGGAAAUUGCAAUUAUUUUCCGUGAACGAGGAAUUCCUAGUAAGUGCGAGUCAUCAGCUCGCGUUGAUUACGUCCCUGCCCUUUGUACACACCGCCCGUCGCUGCCUAGAACUGAGCCAUUUCGAGAAUAUUCGGGAUCGCUGGUUGCGGGUCCUUCGGGGCACGCCUCUGGCCAGAGAACGAACGUAAUCGCAGUGGCUUGAACCGGGCAAAAGU
rnacentral:rRNA from 1 species